UACGUAGGAGGCGAGCGUUAUCCGGAUUCACUGGGCGUAAAGCGCGUGCAGGCGGUUUGGUUAGUUAGGCGUGAAAGCUCCCGGCUCAACUGGGAGAGGUCGUCUAAUACUGCCGGACUAGAGAAUGGUAGAGGAAAAUGGAAUUCCCGGUGUAGUGGUGAAAUGCGUAGAUAUCGGGAGGAACACCAGUGGCGAAGGCGAUUUUCUGGACCAUUUCUGACGCUCAGACGCGAAAGCUAGGGUAGCAAACGGG
rnacentral:rRNA from 1 species